UACGUAGGGAGCGAGCGUUGUCCGGAUUCAUUGGGCGUAAAGAGCUCGUAGGCGGCUUGAUUAGUCGGAUGUGAAACCUCCAGGCUCAACCUGGAGUCGCCAUCCGAUACUGUCAUGGCUAGAGUCCGGUAGGGGCCCACGGAAUUCCUGGUGUAGCGGUGAAAUGCGCAGAUAUGCGGAGGAACACCGGAUGGCGAAGGCAAUCCCCUGGGCCUGUACUGACGCUCAUGCACGAAAGCGUGGGGAGCAAACAGG
rnacentral:rRNA from 1 species